rnacentral:rRNA from 2 species
UACGGAGGAUGCAAGCGUUAUCCGGAAUGAUUGGGCGUAAAGCGUCCGCAGGUGGCUAUGUAAGUCUGCUGUUAAAGAGUGAGGCUCAACCUCAUAAAAGCAGUGGAAACUACAUAGCUAGAGUGCGUUCGGGGCAGAGGGAAUUCCUGGUGUAGCGGUGAAAUGCGUAGAGAUCAGGAAGAACACCGGUGGCGAAAGCGCUCUGCUAGGCCGCAACUGACACUGAGGGACGAAAGCUAGGGGAGCGAAUGGG